UUGGGUUGUAAACCCCUUUUCUCAGGGAAGAAGAAAGUGACGGUACCUGAGGAAUCAGCCUCGGCUAACUCCGUGCCAGCAGCCGCGGUAAUACGGAGGAGGCAAGCGUUAUCCGGAAUGAUUGGGCGUAAAGCGUUCGUAGGUGGCCAUUCAAGUCUGCUGUCAAAGACAGUAGCUCAACUACUGCAAGGCAGUGGAAACUGAAUAGCUAGAGUGCGGUAGGGGCAGAGGGAAUUCCCGGUGUAGCGGUGAAAUGCGUAGAGAUCGGGAAGAACACCGGUGGCGAAAGCGCUCUGCUGGGCCGCAACUGACACUGAGGGACGAAAGCUAGGGGAGCGAAUGGGAUUAGAUACCCCAGUAGUCCUAGCUGUAAACGAUGGAAACUAGGUGUUGCCUGUAUCGACCCAGGCAGUGCCGUAGCUAACGCGUUAAGUUUCCCGCCUGGGGAGUACGCACGCAAGUGUGAAACUCAAAGGAAUUGACGGGGGCCCGCACAAGCGGUGGAGUAUGUGGUUUAAUUCGAUGCAACGCGAAGAACCUUACCAGGGCUUGACAUGUCCGGAAUUCUGGGGAAACUCGGAAGUGCCUUCGGGAACCGGAACACAGGUGGUGCAUGGCUGUCGUCAGCUCGUGUCGUGAGAUGUUGGGUUAAGUCCCGCAACGAGCGCAACCCUCGUUUUUAGUUGCCAUCAUUAAGUUGGGCACUCUAGAGAGACUGCCGGUGACAAACCGGAGGAAGGUGGGGAUGACGUCAAGUCAUCAUGCCCCCUACGUCCUGGGCUACACACGUACUACAAUGGUAAGGACAGAGGGCAGCCACUUCGCGAGGAGGAGCUAAUCCCGUAAACCUUGCCUCAGUUCAGAUUGCAGGCUGCAACUCGCCUGCAUGAAGGAGGAAUCGCUAGUAAUCGCAGGUCAGCAUAUUGCGGUGAAUCCGUUCCCGGGCCUUGUACACACCGCCCGUCACACCCCGGAAGUCAGCCAUCCCCCAAGUCAUUACUC
rnacentral:rRNA from 2 species